rnacentral:rRNA from 1 species
GACGAACGCUGGCGGCGUGCUUAACACAUGCAAGUCGAACGGAAAGGCCCUUCGGGGUACUCGAGUGGCGAACGGGUGAGUAACACGUGGGUGAUCUGCCCUGCACUUUGGGAUAAGCCUGGGAAACUGGGUCUAAUACCGAAUAGGACCACGCGCUUCAUGGUGUGUGGUGGAAAGCUUUUGCGGUGUGGGAUGGGCCCGCGGCCUAUCAGCUUGUUGGUGGGGUAAUGGCCUACCAAGGCGACGACGGGUAGCCGGCCUGAGAGGGUGACCGGCCACACUGGGACUGAGAUACGGCCCAGACUCCUACGGGAGGCAGCAGUGGGGAAUAUUGCACAAUGGGCGCAAGCCUGAUGCAGCGACGCCGCGUGAGGGAUGACGGCCUUCGGGUUGUAAACCUCUUUCAAUAGGGACGAAGCGCAAGUGACGGUACCUAUAGAAGAAGCACCGGCCAACUACGUGC